rnacentral:rRNA from 1 species
UACGAAGGGGGCUAGCGUUGCUCGGAAUUACUGGGCGUAAAGGGCGCGUAGGCGGAUAGUUUAGUCAGAGGUGAAAGCCCAGGGCUCAACCUUGGAAUUGCCUUUGAUACUGGCUAUCUUGAGUUCGGGAGAGGUGAGUGGAACUCCGAGUGUAGAGGUGAAAUUCGUAGAUAUUCGGAAGAACACCAGUGGCGAAGGCGACUCACUGGCCCGAUACUGACGCUGAGGCGCGAAAGCGUGGGGAGCAAACGGG